rnacentral:rRNA from 1 species
AACGAACGCUGGCGGCAGGCCUAACACAUGCAAGUCGAGCGGGACCUUCGGGUCUAGCGGCGGACGGGUUAGUAACGCGUGGGAACGUGCCCAAAGGUACGGAAUAGCCUCGGGAAACUGAGAGUAAUACCGUAUGUGCCCCUCGGGGGAAAGAUUUAUCGCCUUUGGAUCGGCCCGCGUUGGAUUAGGUAGUUGGUGGGGUAAUGGCCUACCAAGCCGACGAUCCAUAGCUGGUUUGAGAGGAUGAUCAGCAACACUGGGACUGAGACACGGCCCAGACUCCUACGGGAGGCAGCAGUGGGGAAUCUUAGACAAUGGGGGAAACCCUGAUCUAGCCAUGCCGCGUGAGCGAUGAAGGCCUUAGGGUUGUAAAGCUCUUUCAGAUGGGAAGAUAAUGACGGUACCAUCAGAAGAAGCCCCGGNUAACUCCGUG